rnacentral:rRNA from 1 species
AUUGAACGCUGGCGGCAGGCUUAACACAUGCAAGUCGAACGAGUGGCGGACGGGUGAGUAAUGCUUGGGAAUCUAGCUUAUGGAGGGGGAUAACUACGGGAAACUGUAGCUAAUACCGCGUACCAUAGGAUGAGCCCAAGGGGGAUUAGGUAGUUGGUGAGGUAAAGGCUAACCAAGCCGACGAUCUCUAGCUGGUCUGAGAGGAUGACCAGCCACAUUGGGACUGAGACACGGCCCAGACUCCGACGGGAGGCAGCAGUGGGGAAUGUUGCACAAUGUGCGCAAGCCUGAUGCAGCCAUGCCGCGUAUAGGAAGAAGGCCUUCGGGUUGUAAAGUACUUUCAGUCGGGAGGCGUUACCGACAGAAGAAGCACCUGCUAACUCCGUGCCAGCAGCCGCGGUAAUAC